rnacentral:lncRNA from 1 species
CCGCAGGCCUUUGCAGGGCUAAUGCCAGCUCUUCAAGUCACUUGAUUCACCAGGGCUGCCUUAUCUUAGCCCUGUCUUUGGUUUUAACUUGCUAGGGCAAUUAUGGCUUGCUUUGGCUUUUAUCUGGUUUUAUGGUACAGAAUUAUGCUGUUUUGCAUAUUGGGGAUCAAACCCAGGGCCUCAUGCAUGCUAGACGAGCACUCAAUGAUGCAGAUAUAUCCCUAGCCCUUUAAAAAAAUUUUUGUGAACAGGUCUCAAACUCUAUUUCAAUGAGUUGACAUGGCUGACUUCAAACUUGGGAUCUGCCUGCCUCAGCUUCCCAAGUAGCUGGGGUUGCAGGCAAGAGAAGGGAAAUGGGAAACAAGUGUCCUUCAACGUGGAUUUGAAGGCACAGUUCCCCUUCCCCAUCCUCAUCCUAAGGCUGGCAUCCUAAGCCUCCUGAGUGCAGCAGAAAGUUCUUAACAUUGGGUGCUGCUUUGUGCUUGGUUGGUUUAAUUACUUUGGAGCAAGACAGACUCAGGUGACCCUUUGGUUGCAGUCUUCUAAGAUUCCUCUAAUUUCCCAGCCUUAUUUUUCUUACUGUGUUAAUUGAUUAAACCUGGUCAUUUGGCUUGUAGCAAUUUCUGCAUUCUGGAUUCAGCUGAUUGCUUUUCUCUUCCUGUAAACAAGUAUUGUGCCAACUAAUCAUGCCAGGAGGAGCUGAAUUCACAAAUAUAGGUGCAUAUCUAGAGAUUCUAGGUUUCCUUGGAGGAAAG